GUCUCAGUAGCAUAGUAGUUAGUGCAUAGCCCCGAAUAUGUAGUUUGAGACGCGGGUUCGAAUCCUGCCUGAGAUU
rnacentral:tRNA from 1 species